rnacentral:rRNA from 1 species
GAUGAACGCUAGCUACAGGCUUAACACAUGCAAGUCGAGGGGAAACGAUAUUGGAAGCUUGCUUCCGAUAGGCGUCGACCGGCGCACGGGUGAGUAACGCGUAUCCAACCUGCCCACCACUUGGGGAUAACCUUGCGAAAGUAAGACUAAUACCCAAUGACGUCCAUAGAAGACAUCUGAAAUGGAUUAAAGAUUUAUCGGUGAUGGAUGGGGAUGCGUCUGAUUAGCUUGUUGGCGGGGUAACGGCCCACCAAAGCGACGAUCAGUAGGGGUUCUGAGAGGAAGGCCCCCUACAUUGGAACUGAGACACGGUCCAAACUCCUACGGGGGGCAGCAGGGAGGAAUAUUGGUCAAUGGGCGAGAGCCUGAACCAGCCAAGUAGCGUGCAGGAUGACGGCCCUAUGGGUUGUAAACUGCUUUUAUAAGGGAAUAAAGUGAGCCUCGUGAGGCUUUUUGCAUGUACCUUAUGAAUAAGGACCAGCUAAUUCCGUGCCAGCAGCCGCCGCGG